UCCCUGGAGGACUAGUGGUUAGGCCAUGGCGCUCUCACUGCCAAGGCCCAGGUUCGAUUCCUGGCCAGGGAA
rnacentral:tRNA from 1 species